rnacentral:rRNA from 1 species
UACGAAGGGGGCUAGCGUUGUUCGGAUUUACUGGGCGUAAAGCGCGUGUAGGCGGGUCGUUAAGUUGGGGGUGAAAUCCCGAGGCUCAACCUCGGAACUGCCUUCAAGACUGGCGACCUGGACUCAAGUAGAGGCAAGUGGAAUUGCGAGUGUAGAGGUGAAAUUCGUAGAUAUUCGCAGGAACACCAGUGGCGAAGGCGACUUGCUGGGCUUGUAGUGACGCUGAGACGCGAAAGCGUGGGGAGCAAACAGG